CACCCCCUGGGGAGCCGGGCCGACGCGUCACGGCUCAACCAGAAGGGCAACUUCAAGGGGGCGUGGGCGGGGUGACGGCGGGGCGGGACCUGGACGGGUCUGAAAAAACCGUGCGGUUCUCUUCCCCGGGUUGAGUCACCGGUGCCCGGGGAAGGCCUGUGGCGCGGCCCGCUGGGCUCCUAGUCUCUUAAAUGAGAUUUCGAGACCCCCUAGAAAUGCCAGAAAUACGGGUUGGGUCGUGAGGCCCCAGGAAGACAAUGGGUAACCCCCCAGUUUAGCGCGCUGCGUCCUCAUCCGAGAUUCCCGCUGAAGUUAAAGGCUUUGAUGCGAGGUGUAGACACUCACCUUGCCGAGUGAACCACACGUUAAUUUAAGGUGCCUCCCAUGGUAUGGAGAAAUUUCUUCUUGCUUCCACCUUCAUGAUAUUGCACUCCUUUGGCAGUUGUUGAAGGUAGGUGGGAUGGGAGUGAACAGGCUGCUGGUUGACCCACAUUAGUGACCCCUCCAGGCUGCCAGGCUGGCCUUUCCAGUCCUUCCUUCUUCCUCCUUCCUUGGAACUUUUGAUACAGGGAAAGAUGGCCUUUGCACAUUGGACACUGUGAGCUAGAGCACUCUCUAUCAGGAGGCCAUGCAUACUGUUGUGAGGUUUAUCUGCCCUGGAGAGUUGCUGGGCUGUGUUUAAUGGGUGACUCUGAGGCCUCGAGGAAAUGAAAGGGGGAGGGGGAGUCCAGACUUUUGUUAGCUCCUGAUUUAUGACUCAUUUAUCACAUCUGUUGCAUGACAGGUUGGCCUCCUUCCCCCACCCACUGCAUCCCAAAUUGCAUAAAAAGGACAUGUGCAAAGCAGGACACCUCUCCUUAACCCGUCUCCCACUCUGUACUACCCUUUAAAGACUAUGGGUGUACUGGAUAACCUUUCUUUCCUUAAAAUAUCAGUGAAUAUUGUUUUUUUAAAACCCCUCACAGGUGAGCCCCAAAUCUCACCUAGACUGCUGAGCACAAUGAGAAAGGCUCCAGCUAGGCAGAUAAGCUCUUGCCCUUCUUUCUGUAACUUAUAAAUUGUGUGCUUUUGCAAAUUGGGCAACUUCUGCAAUCAGGCUAAUGGUAUGCAUUUUCAGAGCAAAGUGUGGUUGGCUUUUUCUGUUUAGGUUUAGAGAUGACUCAGGAUGUCAUUGGAGCUUGCUGCUUGGGAAUUUCUAAUGUGGGGAAAGCUUGUGGGAAAUUUGAAGGUGGCUGUGAAGCCCCCUGAUAAUUACGGUAGGAACUUUCAUCUUUAUAAAGUACUUUUGUUUCUGGGGUAAAUUCCACAUGCUCUAACUUUUUUUGAAUAAUUAUGGGUCUUUUAAUGCUAGUAUUUCAUGAACAAUGACCAUGAACCUAGUACGUACUGAGUAUUGCCACAGAGUAUAUAUACAUUUGCAUUAUUUUUGUAUCCAUACUUAGCUAAUACUUCUUUAGUGCUCACCUUCUGCCAGAUACUGUGCUAAGCACUUUACAUAUUUUAA